rnacentral:rRNA from 1 species
CGACGGGUGAGUAACGCGUAUCCAACCUUCCCCUAGUAGGGCAUACGCCCGUAGAAAUGCGGAUUAAUACCCUAUGUUGUUCAAUGCGGACAUCUAAGUUGAACCAAAGGUUUACCGCGUAAGGGAUGGGGAUGCGUCCGAUUAGGCAGCAGGCGGGGUAACGGCCCACCUGGCCGACGAUCGGUAGGGGUUCUGAGAGGAAGGUCCCCCACAUUGGAACUGAGACACGGUCCAAACUCCUACGGGAGGCAGCAGUGAGGAAUAUUGGUCAAUGGGCGCGAGCCUGAACCAGCCAAGUAGCGUGCCAGGACGACGGCCCUAUGGGUUGUAAACUGCUUUUAUGCGGGGAUAAAGUGCGGCACGUGUGCCGUUUUGUAGGUACCGCAUGAAUAAGGACCGGCUAAUUCCGUGCCAGCCGCUGC